CUUUUCUUACUUACCUUUAUUCCUCUUUUCCAGGUUGGCCUUCCUUCUAUGAUGUGAUCAGUCCUGAUACAAUUACUCUCACUGAUGAUUUUUCCUAUGGGAUGCAUCGGAUUGAAAUAUCCUGCAGUCAGUGCGGCGCACACCUCGGGCACAUUUUUGACGAUGGACCUCGUCCAACUGGCAAACGAUACUGCAUAAACUCUGCUUCAUUAUCCUUCAAACCCGCAGAGAAGAACAGCGCAGGGGAAGGCAGCGGUAGCACCCGUCCUGCCCAAACAGGCAAAGCUGAGCUGUAGGACAUGGCAAGCCUGGAGAGAGCUGCUUUCAUCCCACACAGCUCACAAGGCAUGUUUUCUGAGCUACCUGCUACCUUAUAUCCUAAGAAUGUGUUAAUGUAUGAAAGCAUUUUUCACCAUCCUUUUUCUUCCACUCCUUUCUGGAGCCGAGGCCUUGCCUGCCAGUGCAUUUUACUAUAUAAUUGGAUUGAAAAAUGCAUUGACUGACUCUAUGGGUUUUCUUCUUUUGUUUUCUUUUGGUUUUUUUUAGAGAUUGCUUUGGGGAAUCCUUAAAUCAAGGGACUUUGGCACUGUGAGUGAGUAGUUUCUUACUGUAGGUCUGAAUAAUAUUCGUUUUUGUGUGGGAGAUGGGAAUUGUGUUUAUCUCCAGUUUAUAGGAAAUUUCUGGGCAUAAGAAAUCCUGGAUUCCCA